CAAGCAAAGAGAAACAAGGGGAAACAAAAAUAAAAACAAAGCCACAAUGAAAUGUUUACUUAAAAUUUUGUGUCAACAUUUUUAAAAGUGUUCAGUCACAGCUCUUUAAAGCACAAAGUAAACGAACUCAUGAAAACAGAUGCUGUAAAAAGAUAUGCUUACAAAUGUGUACUCUUAUGAUGACUUUGGUAAUACAAAAUGAUAAGACUAAUAGCUACACAUACAGAGCCACACAUGUAUAAAAAGAUUCAUCUGUUCAUCUGGUUCGAAUGAAGUGUACAAUUCUUAUAUCCAUAUUAUUUAGCAUAUUACAUUUGACUACACAUAACAUGGACAUUUGAAACAGAUAAAAAAAAAUUAAAGAAGCAUAUUAAACUGAUUUGAGGCCAAUACAGACCUGAAUUAUUCACUGACCUCCAUGUACACUGACAUGCAUUCUACACUGACUCUCACUCUAC